rnacentral:rRNA from 1 species
UGGGAAUAUUGGACAAUGGGCGCAAGCCUGAUCCAGCCAUGCCGCGUGUGUGAAGAAGGCCUUUUGGUUGUAAAGCACUUUAAGCGAGGAGGAGGCUACUUGGAUUAAUACUCUAGGAUAGUGGACGUUACUCGCAGAAUAAGCACCGGCUAACUCUGUGCCAGCAGCCGCGGUAAUACAGAGGGUGCGAGCGUUAAUCGGAUUUACUGGGCGUAAAGCGUGCGUAGGCGGCUUNUUAAGUCGGAUGUGAAAUCCCUGAGCUUAACUUAGGAAUUGCAUUCGAUACUGGGAAGCUAGAGUAUGGGAGAGGAUGGUAGAAUUCCAGGUGUAGCGGUGAAAUGCGUAGAGAUCUGGAGGAAUACCGAUGGCGAAGGCAGCCAUCUGGCCUAAUACUGACGCUGAGGUACGAAAGCAUGGGGAGCAAACAGGAUUAGAUACCCUGGUAGUCCAUGCCGUAAACGAUGUCUACUAGCCGUUGGGGCCUUUGAGGCUUUAGUGGCGCAGCUAACGCGAUAAGUAGACCGCCUGGGGA